UACGUAGGUGGCAAGCGUUGUCCGGAUUUAUUGGGCUUAAAGGGUGCGUAGGCGGCCUUUUAAGUCAGUGCUGAAAUAUCCCGGCUUAACCGGGAGGGUGGCAUUGAUACUGCAGGGCUUGAGUAAAGUUGAGGUUGGCGGAAUUGACGGUGUAGCGGUGAAAUGCUUAGAUAUCGUCAAGAACACCGAUAGUGAAGACAGCUAACUAAGCUUUAACUGACGCUGAGGCACGAAAGUGUGGGGAUCAAACAGG
rnacentral:rRNA from 1 species